rnacentral:piRNA from 1 species
UAAAAAAUGUAUAAAAGGUGUGUGCUUUAGC